AAAUUUGUUCUCUAGGGUUCCGCCACACGGGUCUGGUCCGAGAGAGAACCUGCGGGUCAGUCCGUAGACACGGAAGGGAAAAAGCCUGGGAGAU
rnacentral:sRNA from 2 species